CAGGAAACAUGGACCUAUGUAGGUGCAUAUGAACAUUUAUCUAUUUCUGACCCAGAUUUCAAUCUAGGGGGUUCAGAUUUUUCUUUUUGUCUAUUUUGGUUUACACAAGCAAUUUUAAGGGGGUAUAUGGUCUAUGUGAUUUUGCAGCAAUUUGGGAGGCAAGACAAUCCCAAACAGUCCUCGGGGGCAAAAGUGUUUUUUAGCUUGUGUUUGGUACAGAGAAAGGAGAGCUGGAGUACAGAGGAAAGAGCCCGUGGAGAAGUAGCUUUGCUUUUUCACCAUUUUUGCUUGACAAGUGGCAACUUUCAUCCUAGCUCAGGCUUGACGAGGCAAAAACCGCAUAGGAGAGCCGUAGCGGGGAUUUUUGCAGAGCGGAUGGGCGGCGUGCCGUAAGGGACCAAAUUUUGCCUUUUUAGGAAAAGGGAGCCGGUACCUUUUUUGGGUGUGCACCCUGGCAUCCUUAUAGUGCAAGGGCACCCUGUAGCACAGUCCAUGUUUUUUUAGCUCUAUAUUAUCCAAUAUUCUUUGUUCUCUUGCACCCUGGGCACCCUUAUAGUGCAAGGGCACCCUGUAGCACAGUCCAUGUUUUUUUAACUCUAUAUUAUCCAAUAUUCUUUGUUCUCUUAAUGACUACACAACAAGUAUAUCCCUGCUGUUUGGGCACAGGAAAACGUCUGCUGAUGUGUGUGUAUAAAAUUGUUCUCUUCUUCAACGAAGGCUAGAGCAUGAGUGGAGAUGUCGGUGAUUGAUGCAACUGCUAAUAGCAUCCGCUUACCUUUGUGGAGAUUAUUAUUUGGAGGAGCAUCGGUAUGGUUAGCAAACUGUUCUCAACACAGUAAAAUUCCUUCAGUUUAUUUUUAUUUUUUGCGCAAAGUUUAUUUUUUAUUUGCCUGUGUUCAACGAGGAGCAUCAUCUAGCUACAGAGAGGCUCAUCAUGUAGGUGCUAUAUCAAUGAGGAUGAAGAUUAACCAGACAAUAUGUGUCUUUUUUUGUUCCUAAUAUGUUUAAGUCGAUAUUGUUCGGUGUUUUAUGUUACUUAUUCAUGGCAUUGCUGAGUUCUUCACAACCCUCCACAUCUGAUUCUAAUCCCCUUAUGCUGAAUCUUUGCAAUUUCUUUUAUUUCCUUACUCGAUAUAACGAAUUUAAUUUUAGAUAGUCGAGCUGAAGGCUUUGGACAAGUUUGUGGGCACAUGUGAUUCUCUUUCGGUUGUUACCCUGAUACCCUCCAUAUUGAUAUCAAGGUUAGCAAGGUCUGCACAAGUUAUUGCAGGGGCACGGUGAGGGUGAAAUAUUGGAUGUUGCUCAUUCCGAACUUCAAGUAGAAUUAUCGAUAUCUUAAUCCCGCUUACAAGUUUAAUGUGCAUUUUGAAGAAAAUUGGACUAUAUGGUAGAAUGAACCUAUUGACUAAGAAGCUAUACGACUAAUGGAUUAUCAUAUCAGAGAAAUACGAUGCAUACUAUCACCCAAUGGGUGCUUCCCUUAUUUAACCUCGUGCCAGUUUGCUAAAUUUGACCAAGGAGGAGCAAAUAUAGUGCAUUCGGCACGGAGAAGGUAAUUUUCCUAUGUAUCCUUGGUUUUUCUACGUGGUCCUAUUUAUUUGAAAUUGGUUAUUGUUUUCUUAGAUUUGACUGU
rnacentral:lncRNA from 1 species